rnacentral:lncRNA from 1 species
AUCCUCACACCAUUAUCUGUAUUUGUAAUCGUGCAGUUCUUGAUAAAGAUUCCGGACACAGGUUCUUCAUCCUCAGUCCUUCCGAGGCUUCCGAUGCUUAUGCCGUGGCCUGGUCCGCAUUUAACGUUGGUUACAUGGAGUUGGUUGGUUCCGUGACCUAUAGAGAUGCAAUCAUCCCCAGUUCCAAUGGUUGUAUCUCUGAUGUUGAUCCCAGAUGAACGUCCCAUAUGAAUUCCUUUUGUAUUGACGCUCUCUUGAGGCGCUGAGACAGUAAAAUCUUAGAAUACCAGAUUUUUGCAACCCAUAAGAUUGACGUGGGAAUUUUUUGCUGUCUUUUCUUGUUAUAUCUCGAAUUAUAGAAUUGGUAACAGAAUUGAACCUCAAAUUCUGCCAAAGUGUGAAAACAGUUAAAACAUAUUAAGACAAGUAAUGUCUCUUGCAAAAGUUAUGUUGUCAGGAGAAUUUUUUUAUAGUCAGAAUGAAUCAAAAUCGCAGAUUAUCCACAUGAUCCAUGACUUAGAGUCGCUACCUAAUAUAUACCCUUUUCACAUGUAUGGCUCGGGCUGUCAGGCACCAUAUAUAUAUAUAUAUAUAUAUAUAUAUUCUUAGAAGAGUAUGAUCAGCCAAUUAGUUUCACAAUCUAGCAAUUGAUUUAAAAUAUAAAAGAACAAGAUUUAAAUUAUCUUACGAUAGCUUUAGAUUUGCAAUCUUUGUUUUUGUGACAAUCAUUUUGCUUCCAAGCAGUUGCUCCUUGGCCAUCGAAAGUUCCACCACCAGAUAAGGUGAGCCCAUCAAUGCGCUCAAAAGCUACCCAAGUAUCUUGUUUUGGGAGAUCCUUGAUAUGUUCUGGAGCCUGCACUGUGCCUUUUAGCUGAAACUCAAUAGCAGCUUUGCAUGGUCCUUUGAAAGUUGCCCCUACAAACUUGUAUGUCCCACUUGGAACAACAAUUUUACUUGCCGACGUCGAUGCACAUGCAUCUGUCCAAGCUUUGCUCAAAGCCUAAUUACAAACAUUAAAUAAAAAUUAAAAAUUAAAAAUUGAAAUGAUUCUGGUUAAUUACGAACCAAUUCUAGAACGGAAAUGAUUUUCCGCUUAUUCAUUUUUUUCCCAUGCAUACUUAUUGCUUACUUCUAACUAAACAAAUCGAAAGAAAAAGCAAGAAACAAAAACAAGAAUGUGCAAAGACUAAGUGUGUACGGAAGUAAUUUUUCUUCUAGCCAAAAAUAUUGGUUUAGCAUUUCAAGAUGAAUUAUAUAAGUAUAUAUAAUGCCUACCUCGGUUAGGUAUAAAAUAUCGAUGAUAUCGAAAAUAUCGGUAGUCCAAAAACACGGAAAUUUUGAUGGAAAUAUCAGGAUAUUAUCGAUAUCGAUAAAAAUUGAAUAAAAACCACGGAAAUUGUAAGAAAAACUUGGAAAUUUUUAUUGAAACUUCGCAGGAUGUUUAUUUAGUCAAUUAUCUAUUAGUUUAUCACAAAAAAUUGGAAGGAAAUGCAUUGCAUGAUAGAUAUAAUUGAUUUAAGUUGAUUAUAUAGCGAGUUGGCAAACAUUGUGAGUGUAGAAAAUAUGUAUUAAUUAAUGAAAGAAGUUUAAACACAUCAUAAUCAUUUAUAUAUAAUGAAUUAGUACAAUAUUUUACACUUUAUACAUUGCAUGGUAAGAUACAUGAGUGACUUAGCAAGGUCUAAAAUAUCGAUGAUAUCGGAAAUAUCAGUAGUCCAAAAAAUAUCGAUAGUCCAAAAACACGGAAAUUUCGAUGAAAAUAUCGGGAUAUUAUGGAUAUUUUAGAACUUAUAUCAAAGUUUGCUUUUCCACCAUAAUUUGUACUUGUUACAUCAUAGACACCAGAUUGGGCAUUAGAUGUGGAUACUAACAAGAAGGACAUAAACAUUGGCAAGAUAUUUUUCAGUUUCAAAUCCAUCUUGAGUUUUCAAUUCAGAAUUAGUUUCUUUCGUUUGGAGGUUUGAUGAAAACUUUAUUUUGGUUUUGUUUGUACCAUACUUGACCAAUUCCGAAACUACUGAGCACCGAUCAACGUUAUACCGUCAAUGAUCCAAAAGAGUUUCCCUCUAACCAGGAGGCCAAUCACAGCGCACACGUGUCGACAUCAGAAGCCAAUCAUAGCGCGACACGUGUCAACAUCAGAAGCCAAUGACAACACAACACGUAUCAAUGUCAGAACAAAACUAGAAACUCUCUUCUAUAAAAGGAGAUCAUUCUCCCACAAUAUUUCCUAAUGUCAUUUGUACUAAAUAAUUCACUAGUACUCACUAAAUGAGAGCUUGAACCUACGUACUUGUGUAAACCCUUCACAAUUAAUGAGAACUCUUCUACUCCAUGGACGUAGCCAAUCUGGGUGAACCAUGUACAUCUUGUGUUUUGCUUUUCUGUCUCUAUCCAUUUACAUACUUACCCACACUAGUGACCGCGAAGGUCAUAAACUUGACACUUUCUGUUGUACCAAAGUCCUCGCCGAUUUUGUUCAUCAACAUUUGGCGCCAUCUGUGGGAAACACAUUUAUUUCUACUUUCUUCAGCUUUGUCAAGCUGGUUUCCACCAUUCAUACACUCUCUUUUGACCAGGCAUCCCUCUCCAACAUGGGGAGCGAAGGAAGCCACAACAUGCAGAACGACACCCCCCUCGCACCUGGUGCAAAGCAACAAAAAAAUGAACAAAAGAAGUUUGCUCUUCAGGCUAAAACACACGAGCUCAUCACCUCUAUGAAAGUCAACCAUCAACUGGGUGCCCCCCAACACGGAGGGUCAUUUGCCUUCGACAUGGGUAUUCUUGUUGAGGAGCGAGCUACUCAUUGAAAUGGCGACCAACAUGAGACUUCUCUCAACCCAGCUGCUUCGACCCGAAGCAGGAGAAGUUGAGGAAAGCACCUCCUUACAGAAUGAGUGGAAUGAUUGAAAGCCGUCUUUCGCAACUGUCGAGACUUCCUAAAGCAACGUCGAGACAAUCUCAUCUAUGUAAGCUCGAAGAUCAAUGACCCAAGGGUCUCUGAAAGACUCGGUCCCCUCCCAUGUCUCAGGCCAACUACCAAUUUGGGGAAGGGGCAGCAAGUCCUAGAAAAACACGAAGGUAUAGGGGACUCAGAGAUGUUCCGACAGACAUACCUUGGAAGUCAGUAUGGCUAGUCCAGGGAAAAAUCACAUACUCUUGAUCAAACCUUCCUACUUCCAAAAGGAGAUGGAGAUUUACGAAAGAAAGCUCCAGUGGUACAUGACUCCACUCAGGACCAUCUUGUCUUACAGCUCCUUAAAGAAGUAAACAAGUUGAAGGCCGAACGACAAGCUGAGAUACCUGAUUGGAACCAACCUAGGCUUGGCCCUCUUACAAUGAGGAUCCUCGACACCCCCUUCAAGCAAAGACAAAACAAAAGCUUGGCUUGCAACUCUAUACUGGAAAGAAUGACCCGAUUGAACACCUUAACCUCUUUGAGUCCACCAUGGCAUACCGGAUGUACACCGAUGAAGAACAAUGUCUUCUCUUCCCCUCCACCCUCUCUGGCAGAGCUCUAAAUUGGUAUUGUCGUCUUCCACCUGAAACAGUAGACUCAUUUAAGAAAUUGAGGAAACAGUUUGUUUCUCAACACAUUUUCCAGACCGAUCGCUUACAUUCUGCUGAUGACUUGUACAUUAUUCGCCAGACGCCAGAGGAGUCAUUACGUAUGUAUGCUGGCCAUUUCAGUCAUGAGAAUUCCCGUUGUGCCGAGGCAGACGACAAGACUGCCCUCAAAACCUUCACGACAGGCCUACGUGACUGUUUCUUUAAGUACAUAAUCAAUGCCAACACUUGAAAGACUUAGUAUGAGGUGAUGGCGCAGGCUUAUAACCAUGCCUCCGCCUAGGCAAGGACAUACCAAGAGAAACCUUCAACAACCAUCCCCUAUCAGAAAGUUGGGAGUGGAAGCCAGACUCACCCAAAUGAGAAGACCUCAACCUUCCAAACGGCAGCGGUGCCUCCCCCUGCCUUACUUAAUACUUCACCAAGUCAACAGACAUAUCAAUCUCAAGGCAAAAGGAAAGAUUUCCACCAUUCGUACACUCUCUUUUGACCAGGCAUCCCUCUCCAACAUGGGGAGUGAAGGAAGCCACAACACACAGAACGACACCCCCCUCGCACCUGGUGCGAAGCAACAAAAGAAUAAACAAAAAAAGUUUGCUCUUCAGGCUAAAGUCGAUGAGCUAGAGGCUUAGAACAACAGGAUAGCGAUGAAGAAUGAGAUCCUCCAAGAGCAGUAUGAGAAGGUCUUCGAGAUGCUCCACAAGGCUAGAUAUACUAAAACACACAAGCUUAUCACCUCUGUGGAAGUCAACCAUCAACUGGGUGCCCCCUAACACGAAGGGUCAUUUGCCCUCGACAUGGGUAUUCCUGUUGAGGAGCGAACUACUCAUUGAAAUGGCGACCAACAUGAGACUUCUCUCAACCCAGCUGUUUCGACCCGAAGCAGGAGGAGUAGAAAAAGGCACCUCCUUACAGAAUGAGUGGAAUGAUCGAAAGCCGUCUUUCGUAACUGUUGAGACUUCCUAAAGUAACGUCGAGACAAUCUCAUCCAUGUAAGCUCGAAGAUCAAUGACCUAAGGGUCUCUGAAAGACUCGGUCCCCUCCCAUGUCCCAGGCCGACUACCAAUUUGGGGAAGAGGCAACAAGUCCUAGAGAAACACGAAGGUAUAUGAGACUCAGAGAUGUUCCGACAGACAUACCUUGGAAGUCAGUAUGGCUAGUCCAGGGAAAAAUCACAUGUUCUUGAUCAAACAUUCCUACUUCCAAGAGGAGAUGGAGAUUUACGAAAGAAAGCUCCAGUGGUACAUGACUCCACUCAGGACCCUCUUGUCCUACAGCUCCUUAAAGAAGUAAACAAGUUGAAGGCCGAACGACAAGCUGAGAUACUUGAUUGGAACCAACCUAGGCCUGGCCCUCUUACAAGGAGGAUCCUCGACACCCCCUUCAAGCAAAGACAAAACAAAAGCUUGGCUUGCAACUCUAUACUGGAAAGGAGGACCCGAUUGAACACCUUAACCUCUUUGAGUCCACCAUGGCAUACCGGAUGCACACCGACGAAGAGCAAUGUCUUCUCUUCCCCUCCACCCUCUCUGGCAAAGCUCUAAAUUGGUAUUGUUGUCUUCCACCUGAAACGGUAGACUCAUUUAAGGAAUUGAGGAAACAGUUUAUUUCUCAACACAUUUUCCAGACAGAUCACUUGCACUCUGCGGAUGACUUGUACACUAUUCGCCAGAAGCCAGACGAGUCAUUAGUAUGUAUGCUGGCCGCUUUAGCCAUGAGAAUUCCCGUUGUGCCGAGGCAGAUGACAAGACUGCCCUCAAAACCUUCACGACAAGCCUACGUGACUAUUUCUUUAAGUACAUAAUCAAUGCCAACACUUGGAAGACUUACUCUGAGGUGAUGGUGCAGGCUUAUAACCAUGCCUCCGCCGAGGCAAGGACAUACCAAGAGAAACCUCCAACAACCAUCCCCUAUCAGCAAGUUGGGAGUGGAAGCCAGACCCACCCAAAUAAGAAGACCUCAACCUUCCAAACGGCAGCGGUGCCUCCCCCUGCCUUACUUAAUACUUCACCAAGUCAACAGACAUAUCAAUCUCAGGGCAAAAGGAAAGAUUUCCAUCCUCACCAAUCUCAUUUUAGUAAAAUGAGUAAGGGACACUAUCGCGAUAACCAAAGGUAUCGUCACGAUAAUGCCCGCCCCCAGGUAUUCAACAUAGUGGGCCAAGCACGUGUCAAGACAAGCCUUACCCCGAGGUAUGAGACAUACACACCUUUGAACGCCACAUGCGUGGCCAUUUACCCCAGCAUAGCACACCUGAUACUGAAGCCAAUGCCGAGGUAGUCAGGUUACAAGCUCACGUAGAACACGGGCAUAUUUUGCUGCUACCACGAGCAUAAUGGCCAUGACGACGAGAAGUGUAUCACCCUUCGUGAUCAUAUUGAAGUUUUGGCACGUGAAAGAAAAAUUGAUCAAUUCCUUCUUCACCCUUCAAGGGAUAACCGUAACCAACGCCAAGUGAAUGUGAUCAAUUCCAUAAGCGGCGGCACACCAAUAUCUGAAUCUUUCUACAGGGCCAUGAAAAACAGCGAACAAGCUUUAAGGCCUGGUCACCAAGUGUUUCAUGUGGAAGACAUCAGGGGAGGCAAGUACUAAAAGCCUAACUGGGAUCCAAUAUGUUUCUACCCUGAGGAAGAAAGAGGUAUCAUCUACCCUUACAACAAUCCACUAAUCCUAGAAGCUCACAUAUCCAACUUUGAAGUACGAUGAAUCCUGGUAGACAUAAGGGCUUCAGUCAAUAUCAUGUUUGCUGAAGCUUUCAGGGCACUUAAUGUAGCUGAACACUUGCUCGAUCGCUCAAUUUCUCAUCUAAUAAGUUUCUCCGGUGAUAUCGUGCAACCUUUAGGGUGCAUACACUUACCUUUCACCAUUGGUACAGGCCUUUACACAGCUACCAUUACCACUAACUACCUGGUGGUUGAUUGCCCAAUGGCAUACAAAGUCAUCUUUGUACAUACAGACAUCAAUGAUCUCAAGGCCAUAGUAUCCACACAUAUGUUGUUGAUAAAAUUUCCAACCCUCUAUGGCAAUGGUUACAUCAGAGGAGAUCAACUUAGUGCACAGUCAUGUUACAACACUUUAAUCAAGCAACAACACUUGCAUGUGCCCAAGGAAACCCUUUAUAUACAUGACCAAGUCAUAAAGACUAGCCCAGACAAAGCCAACUUGGAUCUUCAUGGUGGCAACAGUCAACCCGACGAUCUUUGAGAUGACUCUUUCACCCAACAAGCACAACCCGCUGAAGAGUUGGAGAAGGUUUCUAUCUCAAAAGAUUAUCCAGAUCGCAUGGUAAAGAUUGGCACCACCUUGUCACCACCCAUUCGGUUGGCAUUGAUCUCUUUUUUACAAGAGAACAUUGAGGUCUUUACCUGGUCAUACGAGGACAUGCCAGGCAUCUGUCCCGAUAUUAUAUGUCAUCAUUUGAGUAUUGACCCUAAUACCAAGCCAGUGAGACAGAAGCGAAGAUCUUAUGACGUUGAACGAUACGAAGCGAUGAAAACAGAAGUUGAAAAACUCAAAGGCAUAGCCUUCAUCCGCGAAGUCAAUUACCCAACAUGGGUAGCAAAUGUGGUCAUUGUUAAGAAAAAUCCGACCAAGGAAAGUCUCCUGCUCCCAAAUGAUAGCUUUCCUCUUCCUCUCAUUGACAGACUUAUAGACUCUACAGCAGGUUGUGAACUUCUGAGCUUUAUGGAUGCUUACUCAGGAUACAACCAAAUCCUCAUGAAACCUCCGAACCAAGAACACACAACCUUCACUACUGACAGGGGACUAUAUUGCUAUAAAGUCAUGCCCUUCGGCCUAAAAAAUGCAGUAGCGACUUAUCAAAGACUAGUCAAUUCAAUGUUUGCCAACAGAUUAGGAAGAGCAUAGAAGUUUACGUUGAUGAUAUGUUAGUCAAGAGCAAACAUGCUGACCAACACAUCACCAACCUAUCUGAAACUUUCACCAUUCUGAAGAGGUAUCGAAUGAGGUUGAACCCCAACAAAUGUGCCUUCGGCAUAGGCUCUGGCAAAUUCUUAGGCUUCAUAAUAAGCCAACGAGGCAUUGAGGCUAAUCCUGAGAAGAUCAAAGUAAUCCUCAACAUGAAGGAACCGAUAACUUCAAAAGACAUCCAAAGCCUUACUGUCAAGGUGGCAGCCUUAAUUAGGUUCAUCUCUAAGGCCACAAACAGAUGUGCUCCUUUCUUCAAAGUACUUAAGGGAAGUAAAAAGUACAUUACAUGGACUGAUGAAUGUGCCGAGGCAUUCAAGAACCUCAAGGACUACAUGAGUAAAGUUCAUCUGCUCUCCAAACCUGAGGUUGGUGACAUUCUCAUUAUCUAUCUAUCGGUAUCGGCUUCAACAGUAAGUUCCGUUCUCAUUCAAAAUGAUGGUAAUGUCAAACGGCCUGUAUACUACGCUAGCAAGGCCUUACAAGAUGCGAAGAUACGAUACUCCAACAUUGAGAAAUUGGCUCUAGCAUUGGUCAUGUCUGCUCGAAAACUUCGCCCUUACUUCCAAGAACACUCCAUCAUCGUGCUUACAAUCAUCAUCUUCGACAGAUACUCUAAAGUCCUGACACUUCAGGGUGAAUGAUCAAAUGGGCGGCGAUAACAUUGGGUGAGUUUGACAUCUCAUACCAACCAAAGCCAGCUGAGAAGGGCCAAGCAGUGGCAGACUUCAUCACCAACUUCACAUAUCCUAUUGACAUUAUUUCUACGCCUAAAAAAGUGGUUUCAUUACCCUCUGAAGCUCAGAGAAUAGAACCAACAGCCCCAGCAUGGAGUCUAUAUGUUAAUGGCUCGUCCAACCAACAGGGUUGUGAAGCAAGACUAGUCCUUACGACCCCUGACAAAGUGGCAAUGGAGUAUGCUCUUCGUUUCAAAAUCAAGGCAUCGAACAAUGAGGCCGAAUAUGAAGCCCUCCUAGCAGGCUUACGUUUGGCCAAACACCUUGGGGUUAAACAAAUUGAUAUCUUCAAUGACUUCCAAUUGGUGAUUAACCAGGUCACCAACAACCUUGACACUAAAGAUAGCUUCGUGGCAGCAUAUCUGGCACAAACACAAUUGUUGCUCAAGCACUUCCACUACCAGAUCACCCAAAUUCCUCGAGCGGCAAACAGUCAUGUAGACGUUUUGGCUCGCCUCGCCUCAGUAGUGGAAGACAAAAUUGGGAGAAAAAAUUCAGGUCGAAUUGUUGGCAGCACCAAGCAUCAUGGCCACAGAAGUGUGCAACUUACAACAGGGGGAUAGUUGGAUUACCCCGGUUUAUAAAUUCAUUGUGCAUGGCACCCUCCCAAAUGAUAAAGUUCAAACUAAGCAGAUUCGAUACAAAGCUACCCAUUACUUGAUCAUUAAUGACCAACUCUACAAACGGGGUUUUAACCUACCAUACCUAAGAUGCCUUACGCCCGCGGAGGCGGAAAUUGUCCUUCGGGAAAUACAUGAAGGAAUCUGUGAAGAUCAUGCUGGAUCUCGAUCCCUAGCACACAAGGUUGUUCGCCAAGGAUAUUACUGGCCAACACUCCACCAAGAUGCCAUCAUAAUAUCUCGCUCAUGUGAUAAAUGCCAACGCUACGCAACUAUUCCUCAUUCCUCUCUUGAGCCGCUCACUCCUAUGAUCAGCCCUUGGCCCUUCGCCCAAUAGGGACCUGAUUUAAUUAGCCCAAUGCCUACAGGGAAGGGCAAGGUCCGCUAUGCAAUCGUUGCAAUUGACUACUUCACAAAGUGGGCCGAAGUAGAACCUUGGCAACCAUUAUUGAGACAAAAAUAGAAGACUUCGUAUGAAAAAACAUCCUUUGCAGAUUCAGCAUUCCCAAUGCGAUAGCCACUGAUAACGGGCGAUAGUUCAACAACAAUAAGUUCAGGAUGUUCUGCUCUAAGUUCAACAUCAACUUAUGUUUCGCCUCCCCAGCUCAUCCCCAGUCUAAUGGAAAAAUUGAAGCCAUCAACAAAAUAAUCAAGUGUACUUUAAAAACCAGCUUGGACAAGGCUAAAGGUUGUUGGCCAGAAUUUGUACCCCAAGUUCUUUGGUCAUACCGCACUUCAUAUCGGACUUCAACAGGAGAAACUUCAUUCUCACUUACUUUUGGUACAAAGGCAGUUGUCCCAGUUGAGCUUGAGCAAGCAACGUUCCGAGUCCAAAACUACGUGUUAAGCGAAAAUGACAAACAACUUACCCUCAACUUAGAUUUAGUCGAGGAACACAGAAACCAGGCUCACUUGAGGAAUGUCGCUUACAAGCAAUGCAUCUCCAACUAAUAUGACUCAAGGGUCAAACCUCGUUCUUUCAAAAUGGGGGACUAGGACUGGGUAUUGAAGAAAAGAUUACUCUGCAACAGAGUCCCGAGUGAAGUAACACUUAAUCCAAACUGGGAUAGACCGUUUGAAGUUGUUGGCAUCAGUCGCUCUGGCUCCUACAAGCUUAAAAGCACCGAUGGCAAGACCCUUGGCCAUUCAUGGAACGCUGAUCACUUGAAGUACUAUUACAAGUAAACUCACAUUGUACAAGUGUUAAGCUUCAACCGUUCGGCAUCCUAUGUAACGAAUACCAUUUGGCAUGAAUUCAAUAAAGUGGUGAUUUAGACAACUCGGUCUUAAUCCUCUUACAUUCCUAGCAAUGAAACACUCGGGUUCAAAGCUUCAACAUGAAUGCUUCCAACAUGAAACAAAGUCUAAGUAUAUGUCAACAAGACUAUACAAAUAAACGAAUAGCUUCACAGUAUAUUCGUUCAAUCAUACAUUCCAACACAUUCAUACAUAAGCCAACUGUGCUUCAAAAGGGUUCAAAAUACUUUGUGUCAUUCAGCACUUGCUACAAUGUGCCUCGGCACCUUGCCCUUAUUCUCACCAACUAGGUGAUAAAGGAACUUACCUUCGUACCACCAACCAAGUGAUGAAAUGCACAACCCGUACUUUAAUAUUAUUUGGCAACUUGCCACUCUUAUCACCAACUAGGUGAAGAAGGAACUGAUCUUUGUGCCACCAACCAGGUGAUGAAAUGUGAUGAAGGAACUCACCUUCAUACCACCAACCAAGUGAUGAAAUGUGAUGAAGGAACUCACCUUCAUACCACCAACCAGGUGAUGAAAGCAACUCACCAUUCAUUCCAUCAUCUAGAAGACGAGUGGUAUAACUUGUACAUGUAAACUCUUAGCAUUCACAAAUAAUCAAAAACCCUCAAGCUUUACAACUCAACUAGGGGAGCACUUAUACCCAACAAGAGUUAUAGUUACCAACAAAGUCUUAUUGCAAGCCAACAACAACUUCAGUGCAUGGUAUACGAAGAUCAAACUAUUCAGCCCUCUUGCAUCUGCUUCAAACAUUUCUCCUCUGUAACAAUGCAAACACUACAACUCAUAGAAAGCUUCACACACUCUUCAUCAAGACUGCUAGAAGCAAAUUCAAUUUAUAUUGUUCACCCAAACCUUCGACUACUACAAGGUGUGGCUUGUAUAUGUUGUCUCUCCUACAUUUUCAAAUUUCCAGUUUUCCCAAAAAUAAAAUAAAAAAUCGAAAAAGGGAAAUUGGGAAAUUCAACAAAGCUUCAUCAAUGAAGGACAACUAUAAACUCUCAAAAGCUUCACACACUCUUGAUCAAGAUAGUGUGAAGCAAAACCAAUUUCUGGUGCCAACAAGAGCUUCAUCAAUGGAGGGCAACCAUAAUUCUCAAAAGCUUCACACACUCUUGAUCAAGACAGUGUGAAGCAAAACCAAUUUAUGGUGCCAACAAGAGCUUCAUCAAAUGAGUUCAACCACAAUUCUCAAAAGCUUCACACACUUUUGAUCAAGACAGUGUGAAGCAAAACCAAUUUAUGAUGCCAACAAGAGCUUCAUCAACGGAGUUCAACCAAAAUUCUCAAAAACUUCACAUUCUUGAUCAAGACAGUGUGAAACAAAACCAAUUUAUGGUGUCAACAAGGGCUUCAUCAAUGGAGGGCAACCACAAUUCUCAAAAACUUCACACACUCUUGAUCAAGACAGUAUGAAGCAAAACCAAUUUAUGGUGCCAACAAGAGCUUCAUCAAUGGAGGGUAACCACAAUUCUCAAAAGCUUCACACACUCUUGAUCAAGACAGUGUGAAGCAAAACCAAUUUAUGGUGCCAACAAGAGCUUCAUCAAAGGAGUUCAACCACAAUUCUCAAAAGCUUCACACACUCUUGAUCAAGACAGUGUGAAUCAAAACGAAUUUAUGGUGCCGACUAAACCUUCAUCAAUAGAGGGCAACUACAAUUCUCAAAAGCUUCACACACUCUUGAUCAAGACAGUGUGAAGCAAAAUCAAUUUAUGGUGCCAACAUAAGCUUCAACACCAAAGUUUCACCUACAAAUCUUUAACUCCAAAGCUUCAACUCCAAAGCUUCACCUACAAAAGCUUCAACUCCAAGCUUUGAGCUUCAACUUCAAAGUUUCACCUACAAAAGCUUCAACUCCAAGCUUUAACUCCAAGCUUUGAGCUUCAACGUCAAAGCUUCACCUACAAAAGUCUCAACUCCAAAGCUUCACCUACAAAAGCUUCUUCAACUCCAAAGCUUCACCUACAAAAGCUUCAACUCCAAAGUUUCACCUAUAAAAGCUUCAACUCCAAAGCUUCACCUACAAAAGUUUCAACUCCAAUACUUCACCUACAAAGCUUCAACACCAAAGCUUACAAAGGCUUCACCUACAAAGCUUCAACCCAAAAGCUUCACCUACAAAAGCUUCAACACAAAAGCUUCAUCUACAAAAGCUUCACACACUCUUAAUUAAGAUAGUGUGAAGCAAAAUCAAUUCAUGGUACCCAACAAAGCUUCAACCUCAAAGCUUCACCUACAAAGCUUCAACACCAAAACUUCACCUACAAAGCUUCACAUAUAAAGUUUAUAAUAUAUAUAUAUAUAUAUAUAUAUAUAUAUAUAUUCGAAAAUUCAAAAAAAAAUUGAAAAUUAAAAAAAAAAAAUUGCAUAGGCCUCCUCUUCUUUGGGCCUAACAACUUUCAUAACAAAUAUAUAUGAAAGGGGAGUUUUGGGCUACCACUUAGAAAGGAAAAUGGUGAAAUUUUGUUACUUUGGAAACUUGGCUACUAGCAAGACACCUCUUUCGUCAACUUCCUCGACCGGAGACUUGGGGGACUCCUACCAUAUGCUAUUGCACCUUGAUAUUCGAAAGUCUCACGACCAUUCAAUGACUUGGAUUUUUCAAGUCUCCAACCGAGAAGUUUUCCUCACUUGGGAAAUUAAGGGAGCACUACCUCAACCUACAUGCUUCACUCACAAAACUUCAACAUACAAGCUUCAACAAAAGAAAAAAUUCAAAGAACUUAGUGAAGAAGACUUUGGUGUAUUUAACACAAUACGUUGAAAUGAAGCAAAGCUUAUUUAUUGAUAUCUCUGAGAAGUUACAAAUAUGUACAUAUACAUGAAUCAAAAUAAACAAAUAAGAAGGAGCCUUCACAAAGGUUGCUCAAGAGAAGUCUCAGCAGUCGGCAGAGCCCCAGAAAGAGAAGGCACCGGAGGGUGAUCAUUCAGAGCCUCAGUACUGGGCAGAACCCCAGAAGGAGGAGGCACUGGAGGUUGAUCAUUUGGAGCUUCAUUACGCGGUAUAGCCCCAGAAGACGAAGGCAAUAAAUGCCUUUGGAACAAACCACAAACCUCUGAUAAUUAAGUAAAAUCUGACCAUCAGAUUCCUGUAGCUGGUCAAGCUUCAUCUUCAUGUUUGUAGCAUAGUCAUGUGCGAGCCUGUGCAACUGUUUAUUCACAUGCUAUAACCCUCUGAUCUCCUGUUUGAGACUUAUCGCUUCAGUCGCCAAUGACUCAACUUGGCGGGUUCGAGCAAAUAGGCGUUGGGUCAUAUUAGACACAGAACCUGCACAUUGAACACUAAGAGCCAGACUUCCAACAGGAUUACUUGCUCAAAAAUCGAAAAGGCACCGGUCUCCAAAUCUCGAGAGCUAGACUCCUACUAGGAUUGCUUUCUCAAAAAUCGAAGAGGCACCGCUAUCCGAAUCUCGAGAGCCAGACUCCCAACAGGAUUGCUUACUCAAAAAUCGAAGAGGCAUCCACUCUCCGAAUCUCGAGAGUCAUACUCCUAACAGGAUUACUUGCUCAAAAAUGGAAGAGGCACCGCUCUCCAAAUCUCGAGAACCAGACUCCCACCAGGAUUGCUUUCUCACAAAUCGAAGAGGCACCGUUAUCCGAAUCUCGAGAGCCAGACUCCCAACAGGAUUACUUUCUCAAAAAUUGAAAAGGCACCGCUCUCCGAAUCUCGAAAGCCAAACUCCCAACAUGAUUGCUUUCUCAAAAAUCGAAGAGGCACCGUUCUCCGAAUCUCGAGAGCUAUAUCCCCGAUAGGAUUGCUUGUUUGAAAACCGAAAAGGCAUCACUCUCCGAACUUCGAGACCCAUAUUUCCUUGGAUAAAGCUUGUCUGCAAUCUUCACACGCAACAUCAGCUUUCCAGAUACCACAGACCACUUUUUCAAAGUGCUGUGACAAAGUUAAAACACGUGAAUCUUGCAGCUCCCACUACAUUGCUAUGAUCGAGAAGGGUAAAGGAAUAUCGUUACUACUCACUGUUGGGACAAUUCCUAUAUAUGUCGACCUUCAUCCUCCACAGCCAGGCAAACCUGCAAAUAAAAAAUAUGCUCAACUUUUCUUCACAUCCGAGAGAGCACUCUCAGCAGCGUCUCUUGAAAUACUUAGCUUAUUUUCCCCCGAUAAUACCUCUGCAAACAAGCCAUACCAGAGCAAGUGUGUCUCAUAUCAUCAGCGUUAAAAGUAAGAGUAUCUCAUAUCAUGCUUUUUCCCUGUCUUUUCCUUCGCCCUUGUUCUUACCUGUAAGACAAUGAAAAAGAGAGCAAUCAGUCAGCACUUUGAAUCAAGCUUCCAGUCAGGAACUGACUGCCUGGAACCCCUUGCCUGAUUACUUACCUGGCAUUGCUCUUGAGUACUCAUCUUCAAUAUCUUGUGCUUCCAGAGAAGAUACCACAUCUGCCUAAGGAACAUAUAGGGCAAGUGAGAAUGAUACAAGGAAGCAUGUGGAGACAAGCGCAACAGAACACGUACCGAUUUAUCUAUUGCAUUGUCAACAGCAAAAGUAUCUCAUAUCAUCAAGUUCGAACACACUCUUGAUUUGAUGAACUUGUAUUGACCCUCAAAUUCUUGAGUUGACCUUAUACUCUGGAGGAAACCAGAAAACCCUCCAACCUAGUUCAAGAAUAAGUCUGUGGAAAGUUACUUCUUCAAAAGCAAAAGUACAUCAUAUCAUCUAUUCUCCAUGUCCUUUUCUUUGUCCUUGUUGAUGUCUACAGAACAAAGAGAAUGAGAACAAUCAGCCGGAACACGAGAUCAAACUUUCGAUCUGAGACUGACUGCUUGGAACUCUGAUUGCUUACUUUGUCUGUCACCUCUUUCGGCAGAUCUCCUCGCUCAGAGACUUGGGGGACUCCUACUAUAGGGUUUGUAUUGCACUUGACCAAGCCCAAAAGUACAAGUAAGCUUCAAGUGAAAUUGAUACAUUACCUUGUGCAUCUCCAUCGGUUAAAGAUAUCACCCCUAGAUGGAGGAAAAGUACUUCCAGAGAAGAUGCCACAUCUACUAUGAGACAGAUAAGGCAAGUGAAAAUGAUACCACACUUCGGUACUUAAAAGUUUCGUAAUUACUCAGCGGCUCGGAUCUCGCAAGUCCCCAACCGAGGAGCUUCCCUCACUCGGGAACUUAGGGGAGCAUUGAUUGUACCAUACUUGACCAAUCUCGAAACUACUAAGCACCGAUCAACGUGAUACCGUCAAGGACCCAGAAGAGUUUCCCUCCAACCAGGAGGCCAAUCACAGUGCGACACGUGUCAACAUCAAAAGCCAAUCACAACACGACAAGUGUCAAUUCAGAACAAAGCUAGAAACUCUCUUCUAUAAAAGGAAAUCAUUCUCCCACAAUAUUUCCUGAUGUCAUUUGUACUAAAUCAUUCACUAGUACUCACUAAAAGAGAGCUUGAACCUAUGUACUUGUGUAAACCCUUCAUAAUUAAUGAGAACUCCUCUACUCUGUGGACGUAGCCAAUCUGAGUGAACCACGUACAUCUUGUGUUUUGCUUUCCUGUCUCUAUCCAUUUACAUACUUACCCACAUUAGUGACCGGAGCAAUCUAGUGAAGGUCACAAACUUGACACUUUCUGUUGUACCAAAGUCCUCGCCGAUUUUGUGCAUCAACAAGUUUCAUGGCAACUUUAUACUGAAAUUGGAAAGCUUAACGCCCUCAAGGUAUUCAACCAAUUACUAGCUGGAAGAUGCCUUACCCUAAAAAACCGUGCACGAAAAAACUAGCUGCCGUUGAAGACGUAGUAAAAAAAUCUCAAAAUUUCUUCAAUAGAAAAGCUUAAUUAAGAGCUUGAAAUUUCUUCACACUAAAAAAAGUAGCCCCGAAUUAAGAUGCCUUAAUUAAGAUGUUUAAUUGCAAUGUAGUUGAAGAAUCAUAUCCUAUAAUUAGUAAUUAAUUAAGCUGCUUCUAGUUUUAGAACAUGAAUUACCACCACUAUGUAUGGCCCCAGGUUAGUUCAUUGUCAAUUACCACUUCUUUAACAUGUUGUUCUCCAUGCUUCCUCUCCAAGUCAGUACGUACUCAAAUUGUUUCUUCCAAGCAAACCUAGUUGCUGCAGCCACCAGCACCCUGAUCAACGCCAAGUCCACCACCGCGACAACGCCUAUAAUUUGUUUAAACUUUAUGGCAUGACUUGUGGGAAUCCUCGCAAUAAUAAUUUUAAAGAAUUCUUCACAUCAUAGCACGGAAUUCCAGCUCAACUCUAUCUCGAAGUGACGGAGCCAAGGACAAGGUUCCCUAUAGGAUAUAGCAUAGGGAGAGUUUUGGAUUUUUAAGUUUAAAAAUAGUAAUCUUUUGGGCUAUUUAAUGAUUUUUAACAGUCAUUUUCCACUUAGUAAAUGUAAAUUGAAUCUUAAAGAUGUUUUUAAGGAAAAUAAGAGCCACUAAAUGUUAAAUACUCAUCAUUUUAACUAAUAUUAUAAUUUAGUAACAAUUUAAAACUUUCAUACUACAAAUGAUUCCUUAUUUUAUUCACUUAAAAGUUUUGAAGACUACAAGCCUAGAAAACAUAGUAUAUAUUUCUUACUUCAAAGAGUAAAUUACAUUUUACCACCUCAGGUUUGACUGUUUGAGGUCUAUUGCAACCUCAUACAAUAACUUCAAAACAUUUCACUUUCAUACCUCAAGUACUAUUUUAUUUUAAUAUAAUAGAUCCGUUACAUUUUUCAUCCAUUGAUCCGUUAAGAGCUCACGUGGCUGCCAAAUUUAUGUCACGUGGCAAAAAAUAAUUUUUUAUACAUUAAAAAUAUUAUAAUAAUUUACCCUACUAAAAAAAAUAAACUGAAAACCCAAAAACCCAUUCCCCUUGACCACCUCCUUCUCCUUCCUCUCUUCAAACCCUCCACCACCAAAACCCUCAAAAAACCCUAUUCCCACCGCAACCAUCUUCGUCUUCUUCCUCUCCGACUCUGCUCAUCGUUUACUGGGCAUUCCCAUUUGGGUAAUGAAAAUGCCCGAUUACGAUUAUGGGAGGAAAGAGAGAAAGUGUGGGAACGAAGCCCCAUGCUACUGGGUUGGGGAGUGAAAGAGAGGUCGGGGGGGGGGGGGGGCACGUGGGUUUGCGGGGGAGGUGGGGAUGGGGUGGGAUUGGGGGUUUGGGUUGCGAGGAAGGGGAAGGUGUCGGGGAAGGAUUUCUAGGUUUAUUUAUUUAUUUAUUUAUUAUUAUUAUUUAAAUAGGGUAAAUUAUUAUAAUAUUUUAAAUGUAUAUAAUAAUAAAAAAAUUGCCACGUGGCACAAAUGUGGCAUCCACAUCAGCUCUUAACGGACCAAUGGAUGGAAAAUGUAAUGCAUGUAUUAUAUUGAAAUAAAAUAGUACAUGGGGUAUGAAAAUGAAAUUUUUUGAAGAUGUUGUAUGAGGUUGCAAUAAACCUCAAACAUGAGGUGAUAAAGUGUAAUUUAAACUACUUGAAAUUAUUACUUUCAGAUUUACUAUUAUAUAACUUUAUUUAUGUAACAAAAAGAUUAUUGACAAAAAAAAAACAAAAAGAUUAAAAGUUUAAUUAACUUUGCCCACCCACGUCCGAAAUUCUUGGCUACGGCAUUGCCAUCUCAAUUGUUCCCUUUAUAGUCUACUCUUCACUGAUCGCGAAUUGGUACAUCACUUUACUUGCUAGAAACAAUUACAAAGACGAGCAUCUACUAUUACGUACUCAGGCAAGUAUCGGUUUUCUAUCACAAGGAGUUUCUCUCCAUGACUAACGUUGUCGCUAACGGUUGUACCAAGAUCCUAUUCAUCUGAAGAAUGAGAAGCAAGUGCGUGCCAGUGCUUCUGCCUCGUUGAUGUUAAUUUGUCAAGGAUUGAAUUGUAGCUGUGGUUAGGAAUGGACAACGCUUAUGGCAGGCGGGUAACCGUGGUUAUUUACCCAUAACCGUUUACCCGUUGGAUAAUUGCAUAAGCAGUUAUACUUAUAAACGGUUAUCCAUACCCAUAACCGUGUACCCAUUUAAGCAUAAUCAUUUACCCAUUUAACCAUAAUCAUUUACCCAUUUACCCGUUUAUCCUUUUUUUACUCAUAUACCCCUUUUUUCACACGUCUACAUGUUUUUUUUUAACAACUUGAAAAUUACAAAAGAAAAAAAUUGCCAUAAUUUUCGUUUUCUGACAAUUAAACACCGUUAUAGGUACAUUUUAGCAUGCAUUUUCCUAUUUUAAUCAUUUAAAUCCUCAUACAAUUUCAAUAAAUUGAAAUAAUAGUUUACGAACAAUAUUUUUCUUCUACAUCCAAGCAAGUCUUUAAUUAUAAUCCAUAUGAUUACAAAGUAAAGCUUCUAAAAACAAAAAGUAGUCAUUAUCUUGAAUACUAGAUGAUUCAAAGCUACAAAAUAUUCUGAAACUAAACACUUUCGAACACAUUCAAUGACAAAGUAUCAUCGACUCGUUAUAACAGCGGGUAAUACUCAUAUAACUGUAUAACCUAACAGUAAAUGUUUUGAUGUAUUAAAAGCCCUAUGUAUCAUCGACUCGUUAUAACAGCGGGUAAUACUCAUAUAACUGUAUAACCUAACAGUAAAUGUUUUGAUGUAUUAAAAGCCCUAUAAAAAAAACUCACGGACUGAAUUAAAAGCCCAACUAAUAGUAAAUGUUUUUUUUUUCCAAAUUUACACCUGACAGAACCUAACCAAGCCAGUUCACUGUCUUUGCCUUUUUCUGUCGCAUAUGGGGCUUUUGGUGUUGCGGUUGCCUCCUUUUCCACACCCACCACUGUCAGUUACCUUUUUUUUAAAAAAAAAUAUUUUUUUUGUUGUUGUUUGUCAAGGGUACAUUUGGAAAAAAAGCAUUUACACUAUAAAGUCCUUUUUUUUUAUUUACAUAUAUUAAAUUAAAUGGGUAAAUAGAUACCCGUAUAAUCGCAGGUAAUACCCAUAAUCGGUGGAUACCCGUUAUAACCGUGGAUAAUACCCAUAACCACCCAUUUAAAUUUCACAGAUAAACGGUUAUACCCAUAACCGUUUAUUCGUCUAAACGGUUACCCAUAACUGUAACCGUGAACUUUAAAUGGGCUGGUAACCGCGGUUACCCAAACCCAUAGGUAUUUUGCCCAUCCCUAGUUGUGGUUGAGGAUUUGAGGGACGAAAUUGUGGGGUUCAAAUGUGGCAAUGCAGGGUGGUUUUAGGGUCGAAAGAGGAUCGCAUUCCGUGAGUAGGCUUGUAGACGUUGAAAUUUCAGUAAAAUAAAUGCUCACCAACACCUUAAAUUUUGACAUGCAUGGGCUUACGUGGCAUGCACCGUUGGUCUCACAUAUUGUACACAUUACAUGUGACUCAUCAAAACUAGACGAGUCAUUAAGGAAAGUAAUUAAGGAAUUAUCUUUAUUAAUUAUUUAAUUAAUUUUAAUUUAAAUCAAAACAAAUUAAUUGAUUUAAAAUGUCAACCAAACCCAAAAUCAAGUCUUGUGUUCUUUCGUCAAUGAAUCAAGUCCACAAUCAAUGUCAAAUCUAGUCGUAGGCAAAGACUUGGAGAACCUAUAAAUACGCGACUUCAAGACAAAUAAAAGGGUCAGAAAUACAUCCAAACACACAGAUGCUCAAACUCCCAAAUUACCAAACACUCAGAAAGCUCUUGCAUUCUUCGCCACACUUGUGAAGCACCCCUACACAUGUCCAUUCUUCCAUCACCACUAGCCAAACCCUUCCGGCAUCCGUUCAUUCAAGAUCAAGUUAUCGUGAUCCUCGGAUCAAAAACACCCCCAUUUUUCACUCCGAAGAUUGAAUAUGUGGAUUCAAGUUUUGUAAAGAGAUUGUAACUUUAAAUUUAUUAACACAAAUUAUUACUUUGUACUCAUAUUCUUGUGUUAUUUGUUGCAGGAAUCUCGUGUUUACAAAGCAAUUGAGGGUUGAUUGUGAUUUUGUCAGCCUUGAGAAUGGAACUGACGGGGCAUUGUUUGGUGGAUCAAGUAAAUGUGAUGUUGAGGGUAAUUAAAAAUGAUCGUUCAUUUUUAUGUAUUUGCUUCAAACUAUACUCGUGCUACCUUUAUAUAUGUAUUCUUUUGACUUGCGAUGUAGCUCACUUGACUAAAAGCAUUUAUUCACACUAGUAAAAAAAAAUCCCUUGUGCAACGAAGCACACAUUAUCGCGCAAAGUUACUUUGUGUGACGAAAUUUUAAACUUCGUUGAGCAAAGUCCUGCACGAUGAAAUUUUAUGCGACGAAACACACAUCGUCAUGCAAAGUCACUUUGUUCGACGAAAAUUUAAACUUCAUCAAGCAAAGUCUUUACAAAAAUAAAUAAAAUAAAAUAAAAUUUUAAACUUUUACGUGACGAAAUCUAAAUAUUUCGUCGCCUAAACCCAAUUUAUUUUCUUUUUAUUUAACUUUAUAUUUUAAAUUGUAAAAUAAAUUAUUUUUAUAGUUUUUUUUUUUUUUAACUUUGUGCGACGAAUAUUAAUGUUUCGUCGCCUAAAUCCUAUUUAUUUUAUUUUUAUAUUUUAUAUUGUUAACCUAAAUUAUUUUCUUUACUUUUUAUCAUUUUCUUUGCGUGACGAAUCAACAUUUUGUCGCCUAAACCCUAUUUAUUUUAUUUUAUUUAUAUUUUAAAUUGUAAAAUUAAAAAAAAAAAUUUAAACUUGCGCGACAAAUACUAAUAUUUCAUCACAAAAACCUUGUUUAUUUAAUUUUUAUUUAAUUUUAUAUUUUAAAUAGUCAAAUAAAAUUUAUUUCUAUAAAUUUUGCAUGACGAACCAAUAUUUCGUCACACAAAACCCUAAAAAUUUGGGUGGGCACCAAAAAUGGGGUGCGGGAAUUUUUUUUUUAUAAUUUUUUUAAGACUUUGUGCGACCAAUCUUUCGUCGCGCAAAAUCGUAUCCUUCAUCGCGCACAGUGAUACGGAUUUUAAAACCAAAAUAACUCCUCCAAAAUUUUCUCAAUGUAUCUCUCUAGUUCUCUUACCUCUUCUCUCUUUCCCUCACCCCAAAUCCGACCCCCUCUCUCUCUCUCUCUCUCUCUCUCUCUCUCUCUCUCUCACUCUCUCAUUUUUCCCUAUCUCUCACUUACUCCUUUUUCCCUAUCUCUCACUCACUCUCAAUCUUGCCAAAAGGUAUUUUCUCUCUAAACUUUAAUUUAUUUCUCAUUAAUAUGUGUUUUUGGAGUUAAUUUUAGGUUUGGGUGGGGUUUGGGGUCGAGUAUAGGGUGAGGGGUGGAGUUUGGGGUAUGCCGAUUUUAGAGGAGGUUAUGUCCAUUUUUUGGUAUUAUUUUAUGUUGUUCUUUUGGUUAUUUGACCAUUUUUUUUUUGUUGGGAAUCGUCUGGACUUUGACGGUGAAAGUUGAGCAGUUGAGGAUUAUGACGCUAUCAAACCAUAUCCCCCGCCACCACCACCACUACAAUAGACUUGUAUUAGGAUUUUAUUAUUGUAAUUUGUUAAUUUAUAUGUACCUUUUGAAUAAAAUGUAUAUUAUGGAUAAUUUGAUCACUAUUUUUCAUAUGCAAUUUUAUUUUAAAUAUGUCAAUUUAAAUUAAAGUAAUUAAAAAAAAUAAAGCCAUAUAAUUAAAUUAAAUUUAAAAAGUAAAAAUUCAAAACAUCUUGCGCUACCAAAUAUUACGUCACACAAACAAUUACUAUAAUUAAAUUAAUAAUAGAAAUAAUAAAACAAAAAGUCAAUUUAAUUAAACAAAAAAAUAAAAACCAAAAACUUUCGUCACGCAAAAUCUUGCGCUACCAAAUAUUUCAUCACGCAAUAUAUUAAAUUAAUUCAAUUAAAUCAAAAAAUCAAAAACUUUGCGCAACAAAAUGUUUCGUCGCACAAAGUACCAUCACAUGACGAAGAUUAAUUUUCAUCACGCAAACACUAUCUUCACGAGCUUAGCGCAACGAACCAUGCGCGACAAAAAAUUUUUGCGCAAGGUUUUAAGCGACGAAAUCUUACUUUGCGCAACAAAUCUUAUUUCGUCGCGCAAAGUGUUUUUUGUAGUAGUAUCGUACACUCGAAGUCAUAAGUUCUAUUCCCACUUCCCCCAAUAUUUGCUUGCAUAAAAAACUCUUGUAAAAGUCUAAGGUUCUAGUAAAUAAAUGUGACUACUUAAGUGCAUCAGUUAUAAGGAAAUAGCUAUCGUUAGAAGGUCUAAACAAACUAAAAAGUGUCAUAUUCCAACAACUUGGAUGUCCUUGUAAUUUUUAUUUUCGUUUAAAAGAUAAAUGAAAAAGUUCGACAAUCACCCAAUAACACUGUUACACAUUAGACGAAAGUAAAAUUAAUUUUAAUUUAUUUAAAAAUAAAAAAUAAAAAAUAUUAUGUGAUUCAAAAUAUUCUUCUUAACUUGUAAGUGAAAUAUUUUAGAUUCAAAUCCCUUGUAAAAAUUCAUUACUAGCUAGGGAGCUCUAGAGUAAUGAAUACAAGAUUUCUUGUCAUUUUUUCUAUAAGAUAAGUUUGAACAAAAAUCUCAAUCGUCAACCCACACUCAUCUCAUGCCAUUUGAGAAAGUCUCAUGGGUAACUUAUUUACAACGCACGACAAAACCAAAAAACAAAAACAAAAAUUUAUGGGAAAAUUAGGUUCACAUCCUUUUUUUUGUUACUCCAUUGAUUAAGAUUCUAUUCAUUUUCAAUUUUUGAUCAAAGUCCUUGGGUAUUAAUAACAUCAUUAAUUAUUUGAAUGAUAAAAUAUUUUUUAUUUUUAAAUAUAUUCCUUUAGUGUUAAAAAUGUUAUAAUUAGUAUAUUUAUAUUUAUGGCUAAAUUUUUUAUCAUAUUUUUUUUUUUAGUUUGUACCUAUUUUUAAUUUGCAAAUAUUUUUUAAUUUGUACCAAUUUUCUUUUCAUUUUUAAUUUGUACCCAUAUAUUAGUUUCUUUUUGUGCCCAUAUUUUUUAAAGUUUUAUUUGUGUUUGUACCCAUGUGUAAACCGUCACGUAACAUUGUAUAUUUAAUCAAUGAUAGAAACAUUACAUAUGGUAUAUUUAUGUUUUAUGCCUAAACUUUGUAUCAUAUAUUUAUAUUUUUAGUUUGUACCCACUUUUAAUUUGCAACAUUUUUUUUAAAUUUGUAGUAUUUUCUUUUUAGUUUUAUUUUGUACCCAUGUAUUAAUUUCUUUUAGCGCCUAUAUUUUUUAAAAAUUCAUUUGUACUUAUAAUUUUUAAUCUUUUAUCUGUACCCUAAUUUAUUUAUAAUGUACCCAUUCUUCUUUAUUAAUGUACCACUUUGUUAUAUAUGAAAUGUAAAAUGUACCAAUUUUUUUAACACUAUGGAUACAUUCUUUUGCCAUUUAUUAUUUCUUAUUUUUACAUAGUUUUUAUCCAUUUAUUCAAUCAAAAUGUUUGACUUUUUUUAUUGUAACCGUUUCUAAUAGUAUUAUAAUGAGGGAUUUUAAAUUUAUAAGAUUAUAAAUCUCAAAAAAUAUCAAACAAUUAAUGUCAAAACUAUAAAAAUAUUAAUAUUAAUAGUCAUAUAAUGAGGUGUACAAAGUUAAGGGACCUUGAUCAAACUUUGAAUACUAUUAAGGUUUUAAUCAAAGAAUGUUAAGGAUUAGGGGCCGCAUCCAAAGUAUCCCAAAAUUUAUUCACAACGAGUAAUUGGUUUAUUUUCAAGAAGAUGUAGCACAAGCAAGAGGCUGCGCCACGUUGUUGAUGGUGGGCUUGAUAUGUUUACAUUCAGACGUAAUAGAGCCUUCUUUUCCAGUGUAUGUGAGAUCAAUGUUACUCAAUUCCACAUUCUCACAUGGCAGCCCUCCACUGCAUACAAGCUUAAUACCAACUGGGGUUGAAGAUGAACCCUUUAUGUUCUUGAAGCUGACAUUGCUGAUCUUAACUUUGGAUGGAACCUGCAUACAAUGAUACAAUAAUAGUAUUAUUAUAAAGCACUUUUACUGUUAAAUAUUUUAUAUAAAAUUGUUAUUAUAAAUAUGUCGAAGAAGUUAUUACAAAUUCAGUUUUUUUUUUUUUUUUUUUUUUUUUUGAAAAAUGCUAGAAGUGUGUUUGGUUGAUAGAAAAUUUUUAAAACCCUUUCAGAAACAAUCAAACGGUGCACUCAGGUAUUUAUUCAAAAUAGUUGAGAUUGGGGUCAAGAGAUCAAACGGUCGUCGGUUGUAUUCUAUUAUUCAAGAUUAAGUAUUUGACUAAGUAAUAAAGAAAAUAUGAUGUAACUUUGGUACUGUAAAAUAGUAUACCUGAAGUGUGCACUGAUUAUAUGGGCAAUACUCUUGGUCUAUGAUGACAGGGUUUUUAACAUUAUCCAUGAUAAUAUCCUCAAAGUGAACAUCUGAGACAACGCCAUUUGCAGGGGAAGCAGGCCAUGUUUUGAUCCUCACACCAUUAUCUGUAUUUGUAAUUGUGCAGUUCUUGAUAAAUAUUCCAGACACAGGUUCUUCAUUCUCAUACUUUCCGAGGCUCCCGAUGCUUAUGCCGUGGCCUGGUCCACAAGUAACGUUGGUUACAUGGAGUUGCUUGGUGCCAUCACCAAUAGAGAUGCAAUCAUCCCCAGUUCCAAUGGUCGUAUCUGUGAUGUUGAUCCCAGUUGAACGUCCGAUAUGAAUUCCAUCGGUAUUGAUGCUUUCUUUAGGCGCUGAGACGGUAAAAUGUUGGAAUGCCACAUUGUUGCAACCCAAAAGAUUUACGUGGAAAUUUUUGCUGUCUUUUGUUGUUAUGUCUCGAAUUAUGGAAUUGGUGACAAAAUUGAAUCUCAGAUUCUGCGAAUAGUGUGAAAAAGUUAAAACAUAUACAAACAAGACGAGUAAUAUUUCUUGCCAAAGUUAUGUUGUCAGGAAAAAUUCUUAUAUUAUCAUACUGUGAAUAAAUAUUGCAGAUUACCAACAUGUUCGAUGGCUUAGAUUUGCUCCCUGACAUAUACACCUUUUUCACAUAUAUGGGAUCAGCUAUCAGGCACCAUAUAUUCAUAGAAGAGUAUGAUCAACCGUAUAGUUUCACAAUCUAGCAAUAGAUUUUAAUUAUAAAAGAACAAGAUUUAAAUUAUCUUACGAUAGCAAUAGAUUUGCAAUUUUUGUUUUUGUUGCAGUCAUUUUGCUUCCAAGCAGUUGCUCCUAGGCCAUCGAAAGUUCCACCACCGGAUAAGGUGAGCCCAUCAAUGCGCUCAAAACCUAUCCAAGUAUCUGCUUUUGGGAGUUGGCUGCCAUCUUCUGGAGCCUGCAAUGUGCCCUGAAGCUGAAACUCAAUAGGGGCUUUGCAUGGUCCUUUGAAAGUUGCCCCUACAAACUUGUAUGUCCCACUUGGAACCACAAUUUUACUUGCCGAUGUCGAUGCACAUGCAUCUGUCCAAGCUUUGCUCAAAGCCUAAUUAAAACAUUGAAUAAAAAUUAAAAAUUGAAAUGAUUCUGUUUAAUUACCCAACAAUUCUAGAACGGAAAUGAUUUUCCACUUAUUAAUUUUCCCCAAGCAUAUUUAUUUCCUACUUCUAAAUUAAACAAAUCAAAAGAAAAAUCAAUAAACAAGAACAACAAUGUGCAAAGACCAAAGAGUGUGUACGGAAGUAAUUUCUGUUCUAACUCGAAAUAUUAGUUUAAAAAUUCAAGAAGAAUUACAUGCAUACAUAUAUAAUGCCUACCUGGGUAAUAUCAGAGUUUGCUUUUCCACCAUAAUUUGCACUUGUUACAUCAUAGACACCAGAUUGGGCAUUAGAUGUGGAUACUAACAACAAGGACACAAACAUUGGCAAGAUAUUUUUCAGUUUCAAAUCCAUCUUGAGUUUUCAAUUCGGAAUUAGUUUCUUACGUUUGGAAGUUCGAUGAAAACUUUAUUUUGGUUUCAUCAGAACUUUAUUCUCACAUUGGAAAGCUUAACGCCCUCAAAUUACUCAACCAAUUAUUAGCUAUUUUUAUGGAAGAUGCCUCAACCCCAAAAACCGUGCACGAAAAAAACUAGCCGCCGUUGAUUUAUUCAAAAGAAAAGCUUAAUUAAGAGCUUGAAAUUCCUCACAAAAUUUCUUCCAAGACAGGGAAAUAACCCCGAAUUAAGAUGCCUUAAUUAAGAUGUUUAAUUGCAAUGUAGUUCAAGAAUUGUAUCCUAUAAUUAGUAAUUAAUUAAGCUGCUUAUAGUUUUAGAACAUCAAUUACCACCACUACGUAUGGCCCUCGGCUAGUUCAGUGUUCAUUACCACUUCUUUAACAUAUUGUUCUCCAUGCUGCCCCUCCAAGUCAGUACUCAAAUUGUUUCUUCCAAGCAAACCCUAGUUGCUGCAGCCACCAGCACCCCGAUCAACGCCAACUCCACCACCGCGACACAACUACAACUUGUUUAAACUUGACGGCAUUACUUGUGGGAAUCUUCAACAAUUCUUCACAUCAUAGCAUAAUAUUCCAGCUCAACUCCAUCUCGGUCUCUCCCGUUAUAGUCUACUCCUCUUCACUGACCGCAAAUUGGUACAUCACUUUACUCAAUUACAAAGACAUGAGCAUCUACUAUGACUUACUCAUGCAAGUCUCGGUUUUCUAUCACAAGGAGUUUCUCUCCAUGACUAAUGUCGUCGCUAACGGUUGUACCAAGAUCCAAUUCGUCUGAAGAAUGAGACGCAAGUGCAUGCCAGUGCUUUUGCCUCGUCGGUGUUUGUCAAGGAUCUAGUUGUGGCUGCUAUGUUUGAGGAUUUCAGGGAUGGAAACGUGGGGUUCGACGUGGCAGUGUAGGGUGCUUAUAGGGUGUGGAAAGAGGAUCGCAUUCCGCAAGUAGGCUGUUGAGUAGGGGUGGGUUUAAAAAACCAAAAACUAAAAAAAAAUCGAACUGAACACCGAACCAAAGCCGGAAAAAAAAAAAUCAAACCAAGUGAACCGAAUCGAAAUAGGUUGGUUUGGUUUCGGUUUUGAUGGUCCAGAAACCGAACAGGAUCGAACCGAACCGAUUUAUAUUUAAUUAUUUAAUUGGGUUAAUCUCAGUUUACUAUCAUGAAGCUUCUUGGUUUUCAACAUUUAAUACAUGAAGUUUUUUUCAUCCUAGAGUGGUAUAUAAAGCCAUAAUUUUGGGACACUUUCAUAUAUCCGUUAAGUUUUCUGUUAAAUCAGUGGUUAACUGGUGACAUGGCACUCAUAUGGACAGUGACUAGGCACCACGUGUCAUCGGGGCCCACAUAAAUAUUAAAAAAAUUAAAAAAAUUAAAAAAAAAUGUUUUUGGGCCUUCCAACUUAACCCUCGACCCCCUCCCUCCCUUCUCUCCACUAAGCCUUCCAGCUCCCACCUCCUCCUAACCGCUGGCGAUCGCCAAGGCUGCAUCAUCCUCCUCGACCUCCACCUGUCUCCCAUCCUCUGGUUCGAUACCGACUCCUCCCCCUCCAAACUCGCCAUACAGGACCUCGCAUGGGUCCAGGCCCGACCUGACUCCUUCUACAUCUCCUCCAUCUUCGUCUACAACAACUCCACUAGCAAGGAGCUUGCUUUUCCCCUCCACGGUUCGUAUUGCAACUCUCAUUCAUCUUCUCACUAUAGUUUUUCCCCUCCAUGGUGAUUCACUGAAACGAAUCCAAACAACUCACUCACACUCAGUCACUCAUCUCUUUCCCCCUAUCUCUCCAUUUCUCUCUUUAAGGUUUUAGUUUGGGUUCAAUUGGAGUGGUCCGAAGAUCAAAAAAGGCGGCAGUGGCGGUGGGGAAGCAGAGGCAUCGGAGGAGGUGAUGGUGACCGAUUAGCUAAUGGUAUACAGAGGGGCGAAGAAAGAGAGAAGGUGUACGGCAAAAGAGCACAUCAGCAAAAUGCCUUUGUGCGCUGCUGGAAAAUGUAGCUCCAUUUACCGUGGAGACACUCGGUAAUUAAGCUCCUCUUUCUCUUUCUGUUUGGUUGCUGAGAAAAAAAAAAGAAAGGAAUUUUGAUUAGAUUUUGUUGAUGCACAAAAUCAGUGGGAACUUUGAUACAACAAAAAAUGUUAAGUUUGUGACCUUUGCUAAACUACUCUGGUCACUAGUGUGGAUAAGUAUGUAAAUGGAUAAAGACAGGGAAGCAAACACAAGAUGUACGUGGUUCACCCAGAUUGGUUACGUCCACAGAGUAGAGGAGUUCUCAUUAAUUGUGAAGGGUUUACACAAGUACAUAGGUUCAAGCUCUCCUUUAGUGAGUACUAGUGAAUGAUUUAGUACAAAUGACAUAAGGAAAUAUUGUGACAGAAUGAUCUCUAUUUAUAGAAGAGAGUUUCUAGUUUCAUUCUGACAUUGACACGUGUCGUGUUGUGAUUGGCCUCUGAUGUCGACACGUGUCACGUUAUGAUUGGCCUCUGAUGUUGACAUGCGUCGCGUUGUGAUUGGCCUCCUGAUUGGAGGGAGACUCUUGUGGGUCCUUGGCGGUAUAAUGUUGACCGGUGCUUAGUAGUUUCGAGGUUGGUCAAGUAUGGUACAAACAAAUUUGAUUAGGAAUUUGGGUAUGGAAAUGUAGGCAUAGGUGGACAAGUCAUUAUGAGGCUCAUCUCUAGGAUAAAAGUACUUGGAUUCAAAACCAGAAUAAGAAAGGAAUCCGAUGUCGUCAUCAAGAAGCUUCAGAUUCAAGCCAAAUCUGAUGUCGGCUGGUGAAGCUGUUGUAGAGAGAGAGGGAAGAGAAUCCGGAGAUGAAGGCAAAGAGGUAGAAGUCGGGUCGGGCCUGGACCCAUGCGAGGUCCUGGAUGGCGAGUUUGAAAGAGGAUGAGUCAAUAUCGAACCAGAGGAUGGGAGACUUGAGGCGGAGGUCGAGGAGGGUGAUGCAGCCCUGGUGAUCGCCAGCGGCGUGGAGGAAGUGGGAGCUGGAAGGCUCAGUGGAGAGAAAUGAAGAAGGGAGUCGGGGUUGAGCUGGAAGGCCCAAAAACAUUUUUAAUUUUUAAUUUUUUAAUAUUUAUAUGGGCCCUGAUGACACGUGGCACCUAGUCACUGUCCACGUGAGUGCCAUGUCACUAGUUAAUGGCUGAUUUAACAGCAAACUUAAUGGAUAUAUGAAAGUGUCCCAAAAUUGUGACUUUACGUACCACUCUAGGAUGAAAAAAAAUUCAUGUAUUAAAUGUUGAAAACCAAGAAUUUCAAGGUAGUAAACUGAGAUUAACCCUAUUUAAUAUAUAUUAAUUAUAUAAAUUAUAUACAAAUACUCAAAAUCUAGAGGCAAAAGUUUUUGAACCCCUUAUACCUCCUGGUUGAGAGUUUUUUGCUUCAGCCAACUUGAUAACAAGCUUUGUGUAGUUAUAAUCAUAUUAGUAAAAUAUUUAUACUGAUUCUAGAGCUUUAAUUCUUUAUAAGAUUUCUAAACACAAAACCCUAGCCGUCCCAUUUACUCCCAUUUCAUCUCCUUGUUCUGACUUAUCAGCCUCUCUCUUCGACCUUUGAAUUCUUGCAUCUCCAUAAUUUCUUUGUUGAACGCUCGAAUGUUUGCAACUACAAGCGAUUUAUACAAGGAUUUGCAGCAAUCCAUUCAUCAUUUUCAGGUGGGUCACCGCCGCGAUGCCAAAUUCAAGAAGUUCAAGUUUGAAAACGGUGCUCUCGCUGUAUCAAUUUCAUCUAUUUUGUUUCGAAAACGGUGCUCUCGUUGUAUCAAUUUCAUCUAUUUUGUUCCCAAUCUUGUAAAUUUGUUUAAUUUGUGAUUGAAUGAUUGGGUUCAUAAUCAUUACCCCUGCAAUGCUGAUAAGCAAUGCACAAACGUGGAGUUUUCUUAUAUGUAACCUGACCAGAACUCAUAACCCUUUUGAUGCAAAUUUUGAAAUGUGCAUUUUUUGUGCAAAUUGGUUCUGAUUGGGUUAUGAUGCAUCUGUGCAAUGUGCAUUUUUGUGCAAAUUGGUUCUGAUUAGGUUAUGCUGCACCUGUUUUGCUUUUCUUGAUUGUGCAUGCCUCCCUUUCUGAAUGGUUCUUGUUCCUCCACUCUCCAUCAUAAUUAAAAGAAAUUGUUGCAGAAAAGAGGAAGAAAACAAAUGGCAGAUCUUGAAGAUGCAGGGUCCAUUAAAAUCUAAAAUUUUAUGUACCCAAAAUUGCAAUGAUGAAGAUUAGAGCAAUGCAAGAGUGUUCAGAGCAAAGAAGAAUCUAAAAAACCCGAACCGAUUGGAAUGUGAUUGUUCUACACUAAUUGGAAAUUUUUAGGAAUUUUUUUCACCAUUGAAGAAAAAAAAAAAUCGAACCGAACUGAAAUCGAAUCGAAAAAAAAAAGAACUGAAAUUUCAAUUCGAUUUCAGUUUUAGCAAAAAAACAGAACCCAACCCUACUGUUGAGGGUUGAUUGUGAUUGUCAGGGUUGAGAUGUCAAACAAUGGAACUGAUGAAGCCUUGUCUGGUGGAUCAAGUAAAUUUGAUGUUGAGAUCAUUUUUAUGUACUGCUUCAAACUAUGCCCGUGCUACCUUUAUAUAUGUAUUAUUCUUUUGACUUCCAUUUAACUCAAUUGACUAAAAGCAACUACCCUAUAUACUCAAGAUCUCAAGUUCUAUUCCCACUUCUCCCAAUAUUUGCUUGCAUAAAAAACUUUUGUAAAAGUUUAGGGUUCUAGUAAAUAAAAUUUGACUAGCUACUUCAGUGCAUCAGUUUGUUUGGACCCAAAUUUACACCAUCGGCCCGUGUAAUCAAGGUCAUUGAGUAAGCAUAGUUCUCAACCGUCAGAUGAAAAAGUGAAGAUAUUUUUAUUAAAGGAUAAUAUUAUGGUUUUUGUCAUAGUAAUUAUUUUUUAUUUUGGAUUAUCUUAGCAUUAUAUCUUCGAACAAGUACAGUUCGAGUGAACUUGGGAUUACUGCUAUCAGACUGGAGAAACUUGGUAGAUGAGGUUUGAAAAGUCAUGGUGCAUGCACAGAUGGAUUAUGAAGAAGUCUAGAUAGGCUUGGCUUUAGUGGUGAUGUGAUAAGUCUAAGAUUUAAUAGUCUUAGAUAAUGAUGACAAGCCUAGGUAGGCUAGGCUAUGAUGAUAAGACUUUUAUUUGAAUAGGCUUUUGUGAGGUUUGGAAAAUCGUGAACAUCUAUCUGAAGGAUAUGGUAGUUCUCUGAUGCGGAUUAAUUUCAGUUCCGUGGAAAAGAAUUGCAGUUGGACUCUACAAGCAUCAUCAGGCUGUGCCAGGUAGAUAUCAAACGCUAUAAAUACAUGAAGGUUGUGCAGCAUUGAGGACAACUCCAACUCAACACACAAACUGCCAUGCGCAAACCCUCGCUCUACGCGAAACCUCUCAACAACCUUGAGAUUUUUAUUUUCCUUUUUCACCAACACAUCUUCAGUUUGGAUAAACAGCACUGUGAAGGCAACUGGCGAACAUCUUCAGUUUAAAUAAACAGCACUGUUGCCGUAGAAUCAGCUGACCGUAAAGCACCUUUAGUUUGGAUAACCAGCAUUGCGACAGGGUCGACUGGUUAUCUAUCCAAGUCUCGAUCGAGAAGGAUUUUCGAAUCCUUAUUGGCAGAGGUCAUCUCAUUAGCCUUUUCGACGAAGUGACGUGUUACAAGUUAUUACAUUCGGCACAUUGGAAGCUGAAUUUGAUAUUGAACUUCGCAGAACUAGCAGCCUUAUCUUCAGGCUCUAGAAUCCGAAGGCCGAGAGUGUUCCUUCCUCGGCCGCAGUCGCGAGAUUCAUAAGUCAGCAGCGUACCCAACGCAACAUCAACAAAUUUUACUCCUCGGCCGACGAGUUGGCACGCCCGCACAUAACCGAAUGACGUAGUUAGCUUAUUAAUUACUCGGCAUGCGCGCCACGUAGGCUUGGUAGUUUUUAGGGUCAACACAGUUAUAAGGAAAUAACUGUCGUUAGAAGGUCUAAACAGACUAAACAGAGAAUGUCAUAUUCCAAAAACUUGGAUGUCCUUGUAAUUUUUGUUUUCGUUAAAAAAAUGAAAAAAGUUCGAUAAUUACCCAAUAACCCUGUCACAAAUUACACGAAAGUAAAAUUCAUUUUUAUUUAUUUAAAAAUAAAUAAAAAUUAACACAUAAUACUAUGUAUUCUUCUUUUAGCUUGUAAAUGAAAUAUUUUAGACUAUUCACUACAAGUUAGAGAACAAUGGAGUAAUGAACACAAUUCUUGUCAUUUUUUUAUAAAGUGAGAUUUGAACAAAAAUCUCAACCGUCAACCCACAGUCAUCUCAUGCCAUUUGAGAAAAGUCUCAUGGGUAGCUUAUUUACGACGUACAACAAAAAUUAAAAUAAAUAAAUAAACACUUGUUUAUAAGGAAUAAUUGGUUUCUUUUCAAGAAGAGGUCGCGCAAGCAAGAGCCCGUGCCACGUUGUUAAUGGUGGGCUUGACAUGCUUACAUUGAGAGGUAAUAGGGCCUUUGUUUCCACUGUAUGUGAGAUCAAUGUCACUUAGUUGCACAUUCUCACAUGGCAGCCCUCCACUGCAUACAAUCUUAAUACCGACUGGGGUUGAAGAUGAGCCCUUUAUGUUUUUGAAGCUGACAUUGCUGAUCUUAACUUUGGAUGGAACCUGCAUGCAAUAAUAGUAUUAUUAGAAAACACUUUUUCUCAUAAAUAUAUUUAAUAAAUAGAUCAAAAAAUUCAAGUGGAUUUUCGAAAAACCGGAGUGCUUCCUGAAGACAUGUACUAUUCCAGAAUGAACUCAGGUAGGUAGUCAUUCAAAGUAGUGGAGGUUGGUGUCAAUAGAUCAGAUGGCCAUCGGUUGUAUUCUAUUAUUCAAGAUUAAGUAUUUGACUAAAUGAUAAAGAAAUUAUGAUGUUAAUUUUUGUGCAAAAUAGUAUACCUUAAGUGUGCACUGAUUCCAUGGACAAUACUCUUGGUCUAUGAUGACAGGGUUUCCAACAUUGUCCAUAAUAAUAUCCUCAAAGUGAACAUCUGAGACUACACCAUUUGAUGGAGAAGCAGGCCAUGUUUUGAUUCUCACACCAUUAUCUGUAUUUUUAAUUGUGCAGUUCUUGAUAAAGAUUCCGGACACAGGUUCUUCAUUCUGAUAUCUUCCGAGACUCCCGAUGCUUAUGCCAUGGCCGGGUCCGCAAGUAACUUUGGUUACAUGGAGUUGCUUGGUGCCAUCACCUAUAGAGAUGCAAUCAUCCCCUGUUCCAAUGGUUGAAUCUGUGAUGUUGAUCCCAGUUGAACGUCCGAUAUGAAUUCCAUCUGUGUUCAUGCUCUCUUUAGGCGCUGAGACGGUAAAAUGUUGGAAUACCACAUUGUUGCAACCCAAAACAUUGACGUGGAAAUUUUUGCUGUCUUUUGUUGUUAUGUCCCGAAUUAUGGAAUUGGUGACAAAAUUGAACCUCAGAUUCUGCGAAUAAUGUCUCAUGCCAAAGUUACGUUUUGUCAUAAAAAAAAUUCUUAUAUUGUCAGAUUGUGUAUCAAAAUUGCAAAUUAUUAACAUGAUCGAUGACUUAGAUUUGAUGCCCGACACAUACCCUUUUCAAAUAUAUGGUCCGGCAUCAGCCGUUUAGUUUCACAAUCAAGCAAUAGAUUUAAAUUAUAAAAGAACAAGAUUUAAAUUUCUUACGAUAGCAAUAGAUUUGCAAUUUUUGUUUUUGUUGCAAUCAUUUUGCUUCCAAG